rnacentral:rRNA from 1 species
CACGUAGGCGGAUCUUUAAGUCAGGGGUGAAAUCCUGGAGCUCAACUCCAGAACUGCCUUUGAUACUGGAGAUCUCGAGUUCGGGAGAGGUGAGUGGAACUGCGAGUGUAGAGGUGAAAUUCGUAGAUAUUCGCAAGAACACCAGUGGCGAAGGCGGCUCACUGGCCCGAUACUGACGCUGAGGUGCGAAAGCGUGGGAGCAAACAGGAUUAGAUACCCUGGUAGUCCACGCCGUAAACGAUGGAUGCUAGCCGUUGGCGGUUUACCGUCAGUGGCGCAGCUAACGCUUUAAGCAUCCCGCCGUGGGAGUACGGUCGACAAGAAUUAAA